rnacentral:rRNA from 1 species
AGGAUGAACGCUGGCGGCGUGCCUAACACAUGCAAGUCGAACGUCCUUCUUCUUCGGAAGAAGGGAGUGGCGGACGGGUGAGUACCACGUGGGUUAUCUACCGUGAGGUGAGGAAUACCGGCGAGAAAUCGCCGACAAGACCGCAUAGGCUCGAUGCAAGUCGAGCAAAGCUCGCUCGCAAGAGGGAGCGCCACACGAGGAGCCUGCGCCCGAUUAGCUGGCUGGUGGAGUAAUGGUUCACCAGGGCGACGAUCGGUAGCUGGUCUGAGAGGACGAUCAGCCACACUGGGAUUGAGAACGGCCCAGACUCCUACGGGGGGCAGCAGUGAGGAAUUUUCGUCAAUGGGGGCAACCCUGAACGAGCAACGCCGCGUGCAGGAAGAAGGUUUUCGGAUCGUAAACUGCUUUUCUCGGGGAAGAGAACGGACGUACCCGAGGAAGAAGCCCCGGCUAACUACGCGCCAGCAGCCGCGGUAA